CAUCCAGAGAACUUAGCAGAGAUGCUUUGGUGCCUUCGGGAACUCUGAGACAGGUGCUGCAUGGCUGUCGUCAGCUCGUGUUGUGNAAUGUUGGGUUAAGUCCCGCAACGAGCGCAACCCUUAUCCUUUGUUGCCAGCGGUUCGGCCGGGAACUCAAAGGAGACUGCCAGUGAUAAACUGGAGGAAGGUGGGGAUGACGUCAAGUCAUCAUGGCCCUUACGAGUAGGGCUACACACGUGCUACAAUGGCAUAUACAAAGAGAAGCGACCUCGCGAGAGCAAGCGGACCUCAUAAAGUAUGUCGUAGUCCGGAUUGGAGUCUGCAACUCGACUCCAUGAAGUCGGAAUCGCUAGUAAUCGUAGAUCAGAAUGCUACGGUGAAUACGUUCCCGGGCCUUGUACACACCGCACCGUCACACCAUGGGAGUGGGUUGCAAAAGAAGUAGGUAGCUUAACCUUCGGGAGGGCCGCUUUACCCAU
rnacentral:rRNA from 1 species